CACAUGCAAGUCGAGCGGUAACAGAGAGUAGCUUGCUACUUUGCUGACGAGCGGCGGACGGGUGAGUAAUGCUUGGGAAUAUGCCUUUGAGUGGGGGACAACAGUUGGAAACGACUGCUAAUACCGCAUAAUGUCUACGGACCAAAGGGGGGGAUGCUUCGGCACCUCUCGCUCAUAGAUUAGCCCAAGUGAGAUUAGCUAGUUGGUAAGGUAAUGGCUUACCAAGGCGACGAUCUCUAGCUGGUUUGAGAGGAUGAUCAGCCACACUGGGACUGAGACACGGCCCAGACUCCUACGGGAGGCAGCAGUGGGGAAUAUUGCACAAUGGGCGAAAGCCUGAUGCAGCCAUGCCGCGUGUGUGAAGAAGGCCUUCGGGUUGUAAAGCACUUUCAGUUGUGAGGAAAGGGAUGUAGUUAAUAACUGCAUUCUGUGACGUUAGCAACAGAAGAAGCACCGGCUAACUCCGUGCCAGCAGCCGCGGUAAUACGGAGGGUGCGAGCGUUAAUCGGAAUUACUGGGCGUAAAGCGUGCGUAGGCGGUUUGUUAAGCAAGAUGUGAAAGCCCCGGGCUCAACCUGGGAACUGCAUUUUGAACUGGCAGGCUAGAGUAUUGUAGAGGGUGGUGGAAUUUCCAGUGUAGCGGUGAAAUGCGUAGAGAUUGGAAGGAACAUCAGUGGCGAAGGCGGCCACCUGGACAAAUACUGACGCUGAGGCACGAAAGCGUGGGGAGCAAACAGGAUUAGAUACCCUGGUAGUCCACGCCGUAAACGAUGUCAACUAGCUGUCUGUAGACUUGAUCUGUGGGUAGCGCAGCUAACGCGAUAAGUUGACCGCCUGGGGAGUACGGCCGCAAGGUUAAAACUCAAAUGAAUUGACGGGGGCCCGCACAAGCGGUGGAGCAUGUGGUUUAAUUCGAUGCAACGCGAAGAACCUUACCAUCCCUUGACAUCCAGAGAAAUUUCUAGAGAUAGAUUUGUGCCUUCG
rnacentral:rRNA from 1 species